AAGUUCAAUAAAGGAAUUCCUUUGAAUACAUAGUAUUUAAUUUAUUUAUACCCGUCUUCAUGGAUGCUAUAAUAUGAUGGCAUAUUUUAGAUAUAUUCUGGAGUUGGGUUAGGCAGAUUUUGGCAGAUUUUUUGCCAGGGUCAGGCAGAUUCGCGAUUUUUGAGGUGGUCACCCUGGUCUCGGCAUUGCUCGGGACUCGGUUCGACUUCAGGCGAGCAGGCAUAGUAACCUGAUUGGGAAUAUGGAUCGGUCAACAAUCAACAUUCAAAAAUAUUUCAUGAAGCCGCCUACUUGAAGAUUGGUUGCUGCACAAAAAUCAACCUAAUGUUGCUGUGCACCACUUCAUAGUUUUGAAGCAAUGGUGGGGACAAGUACAUAAGCAAUCGGUCAUUACGCUGAAUGGUAAUCUGCGCUAAAAUAGCUUAUGGCUAACUACGACCAGCUAAGCGUCUUGAAAAUUCGGUUAGCGUUCCUACCAACUGCGAGUUAGCUGCCUUGCUGUAAACCACAUGAUUAUUAAAAUAAUUUAAAUAUA